rnacentral:tRNA from 1 species
UCUCUGGCAGUCCAGUGGCUAGGACCUCACACUUCCACUGCCAGGGGCCUGGGUUCAAUCCCUGGUCAGGGAA